AUGUCGCUUUCUAUACAUAACGCUUCUCCGGGGAAUAGCCUAUCACGGGCCUGCCCGGCCGCGUGUGGAGCACUCAUCGCUGCCAAGGACCUUCACCCGUUCUGCGUGGUUUGCUUGGGCCUUAAACACGCUCAAGAAGCCUUGGAGAACGCGGAAAAUUGCAGUCAUUGCCUUAUGCUGCCCAAAAAUGUUUUACGACGCCGUCUUAAGGUUGCAGCGACCCAGUGCUCCGAGCUCGGUUUUACUGACUCAGAUCUGGGACACGGUGACGACGACGCGCUACCGGGGGACUCCCGGGGCGCCUCCUCACUUGUUUGGGCUGACCAGCCCAAUCCCGCAUUCCCCGAAGAGGACAUCUUCGCGGGCAACCUCAUGCUCGCCGACGAACCGGCCGGUUCCGGCGAUGAGGAUGAUGCAACCCUUCUCGGGGUCUCAGAGGACGAGGAUGCCAUCCCGCCCUCCGGCGUUCCCCAGGCUAGCGGCCACGCAGCCCUGCCUCAGUCCAUCCUCCUGGAAGUGUGUGAGCGAGCGGCCGCUCGCCUCAACAUUGAGUGGCCGGCUCCACAGAGCGCCACCGACCAGGAGAGGGAUAUUUACGACGGAAAAGUGUUGGGAUCUCCUCCCGGUCCGGGGAAACAACUCUUCCCCGUCCUUCCAGCGUGCGCUAAGCAUAUGAGGCACAACUGGAGCGAACCGCUCGACUUCAAACACGGCCUUUCGGGCCUUGAAGUAAAAGAUAUGGCUUCUCAUGGUAUGGGUGACCCCCCCGCUAUCGAGCCGUCCAUCGCCAGGCACCUUAACCCCGCUCAGGGCGGGCUGCUCGCUCCCCCUAAGCCGGUCUUGCCCAACAAGCUGGACCGUUUUUCUGCCUCAGUUCACCAGGCCGCAUACAAGUCCUCGGCCUUGGCAGUCAGGGCCCUGAACGUCUCGUCUCUCCUCUCCGCUUACCAGGCGGAGAUUUUGGACGAAUUAGGGCAACAGCUAAAAAAGCGAACUCCUUCUCUACACUUGUGGAAGGAGAUCCUCACGGUGAACGACCUCGUCCUUCGUAAUGCUCGCCAGGCCGUCCAAGCCUGCGGGCGCUCUAUGGCGCUUUCUGUGGUGGGAGAGCGCGCGCUCUGGCUUAACCUGUCAGGCCUUCCUGACAGUGAGAAGCGGCGCAUCGCGGGCGCGUCGAUGGAGCCCGAUCGGGCUCUGUUCGGCCCCGCCGUCGCAUUGAUGCAACAACGGUGUGACGACAAAAAGGAGGACGAGGCAUUCAAGUUAUGUCUUCCUAAGGGGAAAAAUCGACUCCCGCCGCGGCCGCGGCUGGAGGACCAUCUAACCCUAACCCCAUCGACUCGAAACGUAAGCGGCCUGCCUGAUGUUCGAUUGAUGGAGGCAUCGAGUCCGCGUUCAUGGGCCACGAGCCCUUCGGACUCUCUCCCUGUCCCAGGACCCCCGUUCAAAAGACGCAGGGUCUCCCGCGGAUGGAUCGAUUCCUCUUCGUUCGAGGCUGCCCAGCCCAUGUGUUUAAUGAACGGUGUGUGUUCCCCCCUCACGUUCAGGGGGUCUGUUGUGAGGAAAAGUGCAAAAGCAGUGUCACCACACCGCAUACACUCUGUUCCCCUCACCCAACCAAUAAAGGCUUCGGCCCCAGUGUUUCCCCAACACAAAACACACAGAAAAACAAAAAACACAUUAAAACAAACGAAUCAAAUGAAUUCGUUAUGGAGAGAGGAUCUCUCUCCGCAGAGAGAGCAAAUCUGUCUGAACCCCUGCAUGUUGCCCCUGGUGUGUCCACUAGAUAGCUCCAUUGCAUCACAAAUAAACCAGCUGGGCUUACACAGCCCCGCUGCAGCUCGGGUGGGAACACUUUCAAAUCACGAAUGGGCUUGGCGAACUGUUUCGGCUCCCGAGUGGGUGAUGCGUACUAUAAUGCAGGGAUACAGACUGCAGUUUUCAAUGAAACCCCCGCAUUUCAACGGCGUUCUCUCUUCACACACAGAAGAGAACGCCUCACACAUUCUGAAAGAGGAAAUAUCCUCCCUCCUAAACAAGGGAGCGAUUCAGAUGGUGCCCCCCACUCUGAUGAAUCAGGGAUUUUAUUCUCGUUAUUUCCUGGUCCCAAAAAAGGACGGCGCUCUCCGCCCUAUUCUGGACCUUCGUGUGUUAAACAAACAUUUGAGGAAAUACAAUUUCAGAAUGCUGACUCAUGGCUCGCUCGCCCGUGCCAUAAAACAGAACGACUGGUUCACAUCGGUCGACCUGAAAGAUGCUUUCUUCCAUAUAAGCAUUUAUCCGCCACACAGGAAGUUUCUUCGUUUCGCCUACCAAGGCACAUGUUACGAAUUCACAGUUCUGCCGUUUGGGCUCAGUCUAAGCCCCCGGUGUUUCUGUCUGUGUGCGGAGGCGGGUUUAGCACCCAUGAGAAUGUCAGGUCUGAGGAUUCUGACAUACAUAGACGAUUGGCUAAUCAUAGCCGAAUCGAAAGAUAAAGUGUUGCAGGACACCUGCCGUGUGCUCACGCACAUCACAUCUCUCGGGUUCAGAGUGAAUGUGGGCAAGAGCAAUUUUACACCCAGUCAGAAUGUCAUUUUCCUGGGUUUGGAGUUGAACUCAGUCUCCAUGCGAGUGCGUCUCUCUCAAGAGCGCGUUCUCUCUCUAAUGAACUGUCUGUCGCAGUUCAGAGAGGGGGCGAAAGUACAAUAUCGCACAUGCCUCAGGCUGCAGGGUCUUAUGGCUUCAUCAAUCCAGGUUGUACCGCUGGGACUCCUGAGAAUGAGAGCGUUCAUGAAAUGGGUUUUGUUACUACAUUUCAGCCCGACGCGCGAUCUUUGCCGCUCUGUAAUAGUGACGCGCGCCUGCUCGGCAGCCUUGCGCCACUGGAAGAGCGCAGACUUUUACGCACAUGGAACCCCUCUGGGGACAGUUAUGAUGCGGAAAGUUGUGACGACAGAUGCGUCCUUAACAGGCUGGGGCGCCACCCAGGAGGGCAGAACGGUGAACGGUCUGUGGCCGAGCAGACUACGUUCAGCGCACAUAAAUUAUUUAGAGCUUAUGGCCGUAUGGAAAGCUCUGAAUUAUUUUCUGCCUCGCCUGCAGGGACAUCAUGUGCUCGUACGCUGCGACAAUACCACGACAGUGGCUUAUAUCAACCGUCAGGGCGGCGUGCGCUCGUCGAAACUUCACGCUCUAGCUUACAAGCUUCUAGUGUGGAGCGCACAGGUUUUCCUGUCGUUACGCGCGACUCAUGUUCCCGGCCUUCUAAACAGAGGCGCGGAUCUUCUAUCAAGGGGAAACCCAAUCUACGGAGAUUGGCGCCUUCACCCGCAGAUAGUGGAUAUGUUAUGGAUGAGAUUUGGACAGGCAACCGUAGAUCUAUUCGCCUCGCGCGAAAACUACCAUUGUCCUAUGUUCUUCUCGCUAAAGGACGUGGACGCACCCCUCGGGGUAGAUGCACUGGCCCACCCGUGGCCCAGAGUGCUGCUGUAUGCCUUUCCUCCCCUGUGCCUGAUAAUUCCUACACUGGCCAGGGUGAGAGAGCAGGGCCUGUCUCUCAUUCUGAUAGCACCCAGGUGGCCCAAAGCACCAUGGCUGGCGGAGAUAAUCCCUCUGUUAUAUGCCGAGCCGUGGCGCCUCCCCCCCCGCACAGAUCUUUUGUCCCAAGCGAACGGGGAGAUUUAUCACCCACACCCGGACAGGGUGGCUCUUUGGGCGUGGCCCGUGAGAGGACGAACCUAA
rnacentral:lncRNA from 1 species